UUGAUUUCCCCUACAUUCACACACCCGGAAGCGCAACUUUUCCCUGCUCACGUCAAGUGCAUAAAGGCAGGCGUAAGUUACAAGUUACGAGGAUGAGAAGCACAUUUUGCCGGACUGUCCGGUGUACGACAAAAUCAGAUCUAAUAUGGAUUUCCCACGCUUCGAGCAUAUGGAGGACGCUAUGAAGUGGGAACCUGAACGCCUGGCAAGGAUGCUGGAACGUACCGCAACUCUAUCGUUCCCUUUGGUCGUUAGUAUCCUUUAUCACCCUUUAAGCCAGGGGGCCAUGGACGGUAAAUCGUUUUUGGUGCGGUUACGCGGUGGACUAUCAUCGUCCUCCCACGUCUGCUUGAGCACGAAGCGCCUUAGAGCAACGUGCCGGGUCUCCCAGACUUCCG
rnacentral:lncRNA from 1 species